GCCGGUGAGUGAUGAAGGCCUUCGGGUCGUAAAACUCUGUCCUCAAGGAAGAUAAUGACGGUACUUGAGGAGGAAGCCCCGGCUAACUACGUGCCAGCAGCCGCGGUAAUACGUAGGGGGCUAGCGGUAUCCGGAUUUACUGGGCGUAAAGGGUGCGUAGGCGGUCUUUCAAGUCAGGAGUGAAAGGCUACGGCUCAACCGUAGUAAGCUCUUGAAACUGGGAGACUUGAGUGCAGGAGAGGAGAGUGGAAUUCCUAGUGUAGCGGUGAAAUGCGUAGAUAUUAGGAGGAACACCAGUUGCGAAGGCGGCUCUCUGGACUGU
rnacentral:rRNA from 1 species